rnacentral:lncRNA from 1 species
GAGAGGUCAAGCAGACUUCCCAAGGAAGCGACGUCUAUGCUGAAACCAGAAAGACAGAACAGCAAGCAAUAAACCAGCCAUAGCAUCUGCCUCCAGUGCAGACAGAUAGUCACCAAAGAGCCACCUUCAUGCUGGUAAAACUGCUUGCUGACUGCUCAGGGCAUAUUGCAGAAGAAGAGGACAAAUGAGAUUGUAAGAACCAGCCAUGAGGGACAGAAUGUUGGAGGAGAUCAUUGAGAGGGCAUGACUGCUGGUUGACCUCAAAGCUGGACCCAGGUACAACUUCCCAGGCAUUUCCAGGCAAAGCAGCAUCCUUCCACUGAGGGUAAUUCUCCAGAGAAAGAGGGGGCUCUGAGGCAUUAGUAGCCAACACUACAUACAACACCAGACGGUAACGAAGAUCUGGAUGGGGCACCAACAACAUGGACAACAGCAGAGUUCUCAGCAGCGACAGUGGAAAUCAGAAGGCAGUGGAAUAAUAUCUUCAAAGUAUCAAGGAAAAAAAACAACUGGCAAUCCAGAACUGUGUGCCCAGCCUGUCUUUCAAGAAUGAGAGUGAGGAGGCUGGCCCCAUGGCCGAGUGGUUAAGUUCGCGUGCUCUGUUGCAGGCGGCCCAGUGUUUUGUUGGUUCGAAUCCUGGGCGCGGACAUGACACCACUCAUCAGGUCAUGCUGAGGCAGCGUCCCACAUGCCACAACUAGAAGGACCCACAACGAAGAAUAUACAACUAUGUACUGGGGGGCUUUGGGGAGAAAAAGGAAAAAAAUAAAAUCUUAAAAAAAAAAAAGAAUGAGAGUGAAAUAAAGUUUCUGAAUAAACAAAAACUGAGUUUACUAUCACGGACUUCAUUAAAAUUACUUCUAAAGUUUUCAGGAAGAAGGAAAAUGCUCCCAAGAGAAAUGGCUGAAAUGCAAGCAAAAAUGGUGUCAAUGAAACUGGUAAACAAGUAGGCGAUUUACCUAUGUACCUAAAUAGAUAUUGUCUGAAUAGAAUAACAAUAAAGAUAGAAAUAAAGUGUUGAACAUUGUCCCCCUAAAAGUGAGUGAUUUAUUAUAUUAUAGUUCCUAACUAUAAAAAUAUUAUAGUUCCUAACAGGAUGGAGACACUUGAAAACACCCCAGAAGCCAACAUGGUCGAUCAGUCUGUGAAAUUAGUGUAACCAUUGUGAUAACUUCCGCAACAGAAGGUGAGCAGGUCUUGGUGCAGGGACAGGCUAGGGUGGACAAGAGAAGACAGUUGGGCCCUGGGGACUGGAAAGAGUAGACUACUGUGUUUUCUGUGUGUCCUUUCUGUCGUCUCUCUACAUUUCACUGAUAGACCAUUCACUCCUUCUUAUCACUAAGAAAACCUCAUUAGCCAGUCCAUCACUACUACUUGAACCCAUUUAGAGUGGGGCACGGUUAACUCAGUUUCAGACAGAGUGGCCCGCUUUAAGUGGUCCCACUUCUCCCAUCUCCUUCCAAACUUCCAAGGGCUAGGUGGUUACAGCUAAAGAAAGCAGUGUUUUG